UACGUAGGGGGCAAGCGUUGUCCGGAUUUAUUGGGCGUAAAGAGCGUGUAGGCGGCUAGAUAGGUCCGUUGUGAAAACUGGAGGCUCAACCUCCAGCUGUCGAUGGAAACCAUCUGGCUAGAGUCCGGAAGAGGAGAGUGGAAUUCCUGGUGUAGCGGUGAAAUGCGCAGAUAUCAGGAAGAACACCUAUGGCGAAGGCAGCUCUCUGGGACGGUACUGACGCUGAGACGCGAAAGCGUGGGGAGCGAACAGG
rnacentral:rRNA from 1 species